GUAGAGUAAACUUUAUACGUGUGGCCAAGUCCAAUUUGGCCUAGAAAGGCUCCAAUUUUGCUAAAACCGUACGAAACCCUAGAAUUGGGUGUGAUUCGAUUCAACCUCCAAACUUGCUUCGACGCCUCCACCACUGCUUGGGCUUUGUUCCUGGGUUCUAGGGGGUGUUUUGGUAGUGGUAAUUGAAGGAAAAUGUUUCACAAAUGGGUGGAUUUCGAGUAAGCUUCCCUCGGCACCCCUCACCAUUUUUGUACUAAAAUACUAUCAAUUUUCCUCUAAUUUUUUGUGAAAGAAGAAGAGAAAGGCCCACGGUGAUGAUUAGAAACAGUUCCUAGGUCCAAUUCGUCGGAAAAUUGGACG
rnacentral:lncRNA from 1 species